GUGAACCCACGUCACUGAGUCUGAGCGUCAUGAAGACAACGCAACACAACGCAACAAACGAGUUUGGAUCGCCGUUCAAAAAAAAAAAAAAACGAAAAAAACGGCACUUUGUGUGUUGGUGUGCGCCUGCAAUUUAACUCAGCUUGCGAGUAUUGCAUAAUGACACAUUAAGCGCCAUUCAAGGUACUCCAGUUGUUACGCAAUGCAAAAGUGGGGAAAAAAAUUAAAAGUAAUGAAUAUCGAAAAAACUGUACGUCCUUCGAGGCGAUUGGCGACGGCAGAUAAAACAUAUUUACACACACGCAACAGCUGAGUUGAGUUGAGUUGAGUUGUGUAAUGCGAAAGGAAAGGAAAGGCGAAGGUGUCUGCACUCGGCUCUUGAUGUUGCUGUUGCUGCUGCUGAGUGUUUGUGAGCGUGUGUGGUCGUUGGCUGUCGAUGUUGCAAUGAGCAAAUGACUGUCGAAAGAAGGAAGGUACGAAAAGAGGUCAUGCCACAACAAGGCAACGCUGCGAAGUGACACGUUGGCCGGAGGUGCAGAGGAGGAGAAGGAGUAGCAGAGCAGUCAACAAGUUUGCCAGGCAAUUGGUUUCCCCUUCCUUUUAAGGUUUUUGCAUUUUUUACUUGCCACGGUUUUUUUUCUCUUUUUUGUUGCAUGAGUGUGUCUUCACCGCAGCUGCCGCUUUUUUACCGAUGACUUGUUGCUGUGGCAGGCAGGCUUGCCGGCUGCCUUUUACUUUGUGUGCGAACAUGCUCGUCGUUUACGGCUUGUUGAUGUCGCAACCUUGUGGCAGCUUAUUGCUUGUAAUUGCAGCUGUUGCACUUCAAAGUCAUCUGCCAAAAUUGUACUCGUACUUGUGGCGCGUUGCGUUGCGUGCCGAGAGGAUGGCUCAAGAUUUUUAACACUUUUUUUUCGCUUGUUUUUUCGCUUUACCUGUUACACGCUAAUAACGCCACAAAGGCAAAGUGCAAAAUGCAAGAAGCGCAGAAAAAAUCACAAAAAAAGAAAACAUGUGAAAAUGGUGCCCUCCUGAGCUAACAGUACAUGCUAGCUACAUAUAUGUAUAUGUUAAGCUGCCGGGCAACACUGAACCUCUAGAUACUUAUACUCGCAUAUGCACAUUCUAACAACAAUGUUUCCCAUAAAAAAGCAACAAAGUAAAAUUAUUUAAAUGAAAAUGUCGGCGCUUAUCGUUGGCGUUGCAUCUUCGGAGGCGUGACCGAGCGACAACGCAACGCAAGCAACUAAUUAACAACAACGGGCCAAAAGCAGCAAAAAACGCUAACGGCAUAAUUUCAGGCACUCCGCAAACACGCUACGAUGUGUGUCGCUGCAGAAUCGGCAACAUGCAAGCCGUUAUGUAAUUAUUGCGUACAUUAAAUGAAAUUAAUUGGAAAAUGAUGCCGAAAGGAGUUGGGGGGAAAGUGACUGAAAGUCCAAUAGAUCGCUUUAAAACACUUUAAGAGAUAUGCUGGCACAGAGAUAUUCCUACGGGAUACUCAAAAAAUCCAAAAGUGCUCAAUAGAGCCACUUCGAUUUGAAAGGUCAGAUUCGCCGCACGCAAUUAAGCCUUAAUUGCAGCAGUUUAGCCAUUCACCUUGGCGUGAAGUGGCCGCGACACACACGCAUGUGCGAAGUGAACAUUUCUCGGCUUGUACGUUGCAUGUUUCUGAGUCCCAGCUCCUAGUGUUUACUUUGCCGUUGUGCUAAUUAUAAAAUUACACAUGCCGCUCAUUGCUGUUGUUGUACAAUUUUCACUAGCUAAUCUGUUUAACAAGUUUGCAUUCAUUAACAAUCAUAAUUGAUGUUGUUGGCUCACAUACAUUUUUUAAUUGUUGUUGUUGUUGUUGCAAUUUCUCAACAAGGUGAACAACAUGCACGCAAAAUAACAAAUUGACACGCCUCAUGACCUUACAUACAUACAUACUUAAGCACAUAUGAAUAUAUGAAUGUAGAGCACUUAUGUCGCCUUGCUAUUUAUAUACAUACACAUAUGCUGCUACUUAUAUUUAGGUGAUACAGGGUCUCAAUGCAUUUUUAUUAAUUUGCAUAUCCAUUCACCACGAGAGAGAGGUUGAAUUGAACUACAACUGCACAACAUUAGCUCUGGAUGGUGCAAUAACUGUAUAUAGUAUUCAAGUACAGUAAACUCUUUCGUACUCAGGGUUAAAUGAACCGAAUUGUGUGUUGAUUAGUAGUUGUAAAUUUACGCAAUUUUGAGUCUUUUGAACCCGAAGACUUCAUGUUCGCACAUUUUAAUUAUUUUUAUCUGAAAACUUUCACUUUCUUUUAAAUUGAAACCGCAAAAACCGCGAGAUAUAUCGAUGAAAGAGCGCUUUAAAAUGGUAAUAGAGCCACAUAAAAUGCAUACAACACUUGAGUGGGUAUCAGUUUACUCUCAUUUGCUCGAUCAGAAGUAGUGGAUCAAAUUACUAACUGGAGUUAAUUGCGAAUACAUAUGUAUGUAUAUAAAUGCCGUUUUAAAAACAUUUUGAGGCUGAUUGGACGGUCGCCUCAGUGAAGUCGAGAGUUCACACCCUAAGCACUAACAACAAAAUCACAGGAGAAGAAUCGAUAUUAUGUUGGUUAUGUGAUAGUUAUAAAUAACUGUAACACAACAGUAAAUACAACGCGCUGCAAUAUUGUUUGGCCUCAAGAUAACCGUAAAAAGUAAACGCAAGAGCAACUGAACUAGUUGCAACAUAACGUAAAUACCACAACAACAAAAAUUUACAACAACAACAAUUAACAACGUCAAACAAGCUGUUAAGUGUUGUGAUUGUGAUUACAACGGACGUAACGGUCAUUGUCGCCAUCGCCGUCGCCGUCGUUGACAUCGCACGCGCCAAUCGCCAUGACAAUCACGCGCUUGCCGCCGGCGGGCACACAAACUGGUGCACUUAUUUUGAACAGUUGUUGCUGCUACACGCCGGCUUUUCAGGCUCCUCAUGUACGCGUUUUAUAAUAAUUACGCCACAUUUGUUGGGAAAGUCCGGCUUCGGCACCGGUGAGGUCUCAAGGCAGUAUCUGCGAAUGUGCGACAAUUUGUGGCAAAUUAUUUUGAAUAAUCAACAGAGCCGAUACAAGCAGGUACAUUGAGGCGAAUGGCCUACGAAGUGGUAACUUCGAUUGGAAAACACUUUUUAUGCUUGAUACUCAAGCUUUCGUCCUACUUUAAUCGCUUAUCGCUUAGUCUGAGUAACAGAACUUAAAGUUCGAACUAAUUCUCUUGGUCUAAUCAAGAAUGUUGGAACUUGGAAUUCAGCAAAGAAAUUAGUAAACUUAUUUGCUUAAACAAAUGCGUCGACGUCCAGACGAGAAAUAGGUGAAUGUACAGCAUGAGUACAAGUACAAUGUGUGUUGUAAAUUAAAUGAAAACAACACGCUGCCACACAAUAACAACAACACACAUAAAUAAAGAAGUAUUAUAAACACGAACACAUACACGCGCACACGCAGCGCCUGCUGAGCGCCACAACGAACGGAAACAAAAUGUUGCAGUGCUCGCCACACACAAUGUGCAGCAUACUUUCAAGCUGUUUAUUGGAACUUACAGAGGGUGUGUGUGUGAGUGGGUAUUUUUCCACCCCCAACAAUACCCACUUGGCUUGGCUGUGUGUGUGUGCGGAGCGUACGGAGGACCGUUCAAUUUGUACACGUGUUCGUGCAACAAAUGUUGCUGCAGCACAGCAGACACUCGACUCAAUUACUCGUGCGCUGCCAGGCAAACAUCAGGUCGCCGUGGCUGUUGCUUCCACGCUGCUAAAGUGGCCGAAGGUAGACCGUCCGUCGGUUGGUCGCUCGGUCGUUUGCUUGUUAGACGAUCCUAAUGCGUUUAAAAACAACAGCAUAAAUAUUGUUGGCCGCCAGUCGCACAACAACAACAAUAGCAACAAUGCUGGCAACUAAAGUGGUCUAGCUGGAGCGCUGCUGCUGUUGCUGCGCGCCACACAGUAAUGUGGCAUGAAAUAGGAAAAGUGUGUAACGACACCGUCCGACAUUCAACGCUAAGUGCCAAGCACAACAUAAGCUCGACUGAAGCCAGCACAUAUGUUGCCUUUCGCCACACGGGGCGUAUACGCAACACAAUGUGUGUGGUGGAGUCAAGGAGAGAGUGCUGGUGUUGCUUUGAGAGCACGAAACAAAUGGAGAUAACAUAACGGUUUUAGCGCAAUACAACACAUAUACGGAGCAUUAUGUUGUUAGUCGUCGAGUCAGUCGAAGUUACAACAAAUAACAACAAUGAGAGCCGACAUGGCAAGCGAGCACAACAACUCUUGCACGUGUAAGUACUUAUUUAUGCUCGCUUACAAUUACAAUUGCAGACAACGGCAGCGACGAGGCAAAGGCAAAUUAGAGUGCGGCGCUACCUGCGGAUGUGCGCUGCUGCAGCAAUGACAACUUGAAUAAUUGUUGCAGAUGCUGUUGCAAUUGUUGUUAGUUUUAUUUGUUGCGCAUCCUUUCGAAGUGGCUGUGGCAGCUAGUGUUGCAAAGUCGAAGCAGAAAAGGGUCGUCUUUUAUAUAUCAAAUGAGCUCCUCAAUGGAUGCGAUUGUUGACUUUUUGAAUGGUAACUGUUAAAUUAGUGAUAAAAAAGUUAUUUUGUAGGCCUCGAAAUGAGUUGAAGAAACAUUGAAAUUAAGAAGGCGUUAAACCUUUUAAACCUAGAGAUUACUCGUUUCAUUAGUAGAGCUAUUCAUUCAGCUUUUAUACUGGAUCAAGUCCAGUGAGGCAAUCUAAUAUUUGCCGAAGACUGAACUUAUUUUUUCUUCAACUGCAAUACGGUAUAUUCAACAAUCUCUUUGUUUGUUGGGGCUUGUUUUCCCUCAAACCAGUCGAUGCAGAGUUGAUCGGUUUAACAAACUGCCAGAGUUGCUCAAUGAUUUAUUUACCCUUUCGCGUAAUCGAUUACGUCGUCGCCACACGCUUAGCUAAUGCUGUUUGCUUUUACUCUCGCUUUUCAAUUAGCAAAUGCACAGACACACACUCACACAAGUGUACAUAUCGACGCCUGGCUGUGUGAAAUGCAAUGCCGAGCUGAUUUGAUGUUGUUGCUGUCAUUAUGUCACUAGCAACAACUAUAACAACAACAACAAGCGAUAAACAACAACCAAAUGUGUUGCAUAAAUAAUAUAACGGGGUGUGCCGCAUAUCAAGUGUGUUCGCAAUUGCGACGUAAGCAGCACCGUUAUACAAGUGCCUCUUUGCGCACAAAUCUACCGUUAUAACUGCACUACGCGGCUGCAUUACAUGUGCUCUGCUUGUCGCCCGAAUGCCGAACUGCGUGUAUCAAUCACUGGCCAAGCAAAGUCCAGCCACUUCAUGACACUUCAUGCUGGCACUGGCCACUCUCACCCUCCCUCUGUGUUUUAUUAUAUAUGUAUGUGUGCGCUGGCCGCUGGUUUCUAGGUUAGUGAGCCGUCGUGUUAACGAACUGCUUGGCCCAAAUUUUCCUUUCUUACCAAACGCCGCUGUUCGCUUGUUUUCUUUGUCAAUUCGCUAUUCACGCGCUCGCGGCUUCGGCUUUUGGGUUAUUGCAUGUUUUCAUAAUUGAUUUAACUUUUCUUUUCAAUAGAGGCCAACAACAAGCAAAUAGCGGUAAUAACAAACAAAUAAAACUAUCAAAAUGUUGUACAACAACAACAGCAUAGCGCCGCACAGCUUCAUUUGUCGACAAGCGUGACACGCAGAUAAAUUGAGCUUCUGAGCCAAACUCUUGCAUCGCAAGCAGCGCGCAGCUCACCGACAGCUAUAGCGACAGCGGCAUCAGCGGUUUGUUAUGUAAUUGUUUGUUGCUUGUGUGCUACUUUUAACUGCUGAUUGCUUGACUCUUGUCUUUUGUGCUUCACAAUCUUUGUUUUGUUAACCAUUUUUGGUUGGCUUUAUACCAAGAUAACCGUCCACAUACCCGUGCACACUUCAUUUAUUUGCUCGCUUCGUCGCGCCAGCAGAACCGGUCUGUUGUUGUUCAACGUCAAGCGGGUCUCAAGUCUCGGUUCUCGUUUCAUAAGCUGGCGACUGGUAGCGCAUAGCACGCCAUUGUUGUUGUUGUCUGGCUGGCUUUUGAUGUGCAAAUAUUUCUGUGAUGUCUCGCUGAAUCGCUAGUUUUUCUUAAGAAUAUCAGCAAAUUUAUAGUCUCUUGUGGUUGUUGUGAUUUUGUAUGUACAUAUGUUCCGCAUUUGUGAUUUUGCUUUUGUUUUUGUUUUUGUUUUUGUUUAUAGCUCUUUUUUAUAGCAUUUUUGUGGUAAACAACCGACAUUCUUUCGUGUAGCGAAGCGCCUAAAUCACCACUCGCUAUAAGCGGAAAUCGCGAAGGUUUUUUUUGUUUUGUUUUGCAUAUUUUUGCACGCUUCAAAGAUGAUAGAUCAAUUAUCAUGAUCGCCGCUGUUAUAUUUAUAACUGUCAAGCUUAGAGUUGAUUAAGUCAACAACAAAACAAGUACUUGAUGCUUUCAUAGAACUGAUCUCAAACAAUAAAUAAAUAAUAUUUCUUUUUUAUAUUGUCAGAAUGCCAUUUUUAUACAUUUUAUACUUUUUUCAGAGUUGAUCAUGUUUUUUGUCUCUAUCAAUGACACUAAUUAUUACUGGAAUCUACAAUCUUGCAAUUGCAAGUGUUUAACCAUUGACAUUUUGUGCUGUAAACUCGCUUCGCAAGCCGUUCACUUUUGAACUCAUUCUCCAAUAACACAACUUGAUGAAGCUGUGCAGCUAAGUUGACAAAUGACAACUGACAGCGGAAUUGUUGAUAUGAAAAUGUAAAUAAAUUUGGUUGGAGUUGAUUAAGAAGUGCUGAUAUUCGUAGAGCAUGGCGAGCCUCUUGAAAUCGCAUAUUGUAGCAAUAUUAAAAAUUAAAAUUAUUUAGAGUGUGAUUUUUGGUAUAAUUCAAAUCCAUUAAUAUUCAAAAAAUCGUCACAGCUCCGCUUAACACACUGUACAGUAUUUAAUAGAACAAGACUUAAGUUGAGUUAGUCCAGUUAAACUGGUAGACUGUUACUAAGCUGAAGCUGACUUGAAACUUCGAAAUUCCACAAAUUGAGUAUGCAGAAACAUCCAGAACAGUAUUCGAAGUCUUCAAGAAAGCAAAUGAAUUUAGAGAACUACACAUAUUAUUGGACAAUAAGUAUACGAGUGCCUAUGAAUGCCGAAGUUAUGUUUGGAACAAAAAUGGAAAAAAUUAAAUUCUCGAAAACAAUAAGAAAAAUGAAAGUUGGAGAGCUGACUCCGUUAUUAUUUCAGCUACAAACGCAAACACGUGUCGUAUGCGUAACACAUUGUCAAUGCUGACGCAAUCAAUGGAUUUAUUGCUGCUGCCGCUAUCUGUCGCAAGCGAUAAUUGAUCAUUUAACUGCCAGCAGGCAGCUGCGCACGCUCACUCAUUGUUUGUCAUUAUUUCAAAGUUCACGUGCUCCCAAUGAUACCGUUAAGCAGUCGUCAAUUGGAAUUGUUUGUCGUGUUGCGCUUUCCGCACACUCAACUGCUGCGCUGCGCCUGCGAGUGACAACUAGUUGCACUGCCAGCAGCAUAAUUGCAUUAGCACAAUGGCUGAAUAUUUAAUGCAAACACUGUGUGAACUUAUAAAACAACAAAAACACAUAAAGUGAGCAGAAAAAAGGCGAAGCUUAAAUGCAAUUUACCAAAGUUUUGCAUUAAUUUUGCAUUGACGCUUGGCAUUGGCGGAGUGUUUGCAGCUAAUUUAAUAUUUUAGCAGUUAAUUAGCAUAAUUAAUGCGCUCAAUUGCAUCGGCCGAGCGCAGAGCGCAGCACGCAGCAUGCAUAACUGCGAGGCAAAAUAGUCGAAUGCAAAUAAGUUGAGUUGGAUAUUUAGCAAAUGAAUUAUUAAAUAAAAUAUUGACAAAAAAGGCUUACAUUGCAACAGCAACAACAAAACAACAACAAAAACCAUGUUGAAUAUAUGAAAUGCGUUUACAUAAUCAUAAAUUGGCAGCAACGCCUGUCACAUUGUUGUUGUAAAUGCUUAGCAUUUGGUUAGUUAGUUGGAGUGAAAAAAGUAACUGUCAAUUACUGCGAAAUUGCGCCGCCGAGUGUUUGCUUAUUCAUUGAGCCAUGCAGCGCUGUGUGAAAAGUCGAUUAAUUUAUGCUUUCACUUCAUUCGUUGCACGCGGCAAAACGAAAAACGAAGUAAAAUGCUUUGGAAAUAUUUGAAAAAUUUAAAUACAUUUGGCACAUAUAUUCGGGAAAACACAACAAAAACAAUGCAAUGCAAUUGGCGCGCGCACAAAAAGCCAAUUUGUUUGGUGCUAAUUAAGUUUUUAACUGAAAAGCAAUUACGAUUUAAUCAUUUAAACCAACAACGCACUCAACGCAGACACUCGGCAAUAAAAGCAUUUGAGCAUUUUGAAUUUUGAAUUUUGCAGCAGAAUUUUUAAAAAUUUUAUGCGCACUUGAAUUCUUCAUUCGUGUGUCUGCGAGUGGUGUUUCAUUGCCUUUUUAAAGAGUGCGCUCCACACGAAAGCCGGAAAUAGUCAAACAGCAAAAGCAUUUGAAUACAUCUUUCGCAACCUCAUCAGUUGAACAAUUAAAGUAACAAGCAAGGCUUGGCAUACUCCAACGCCCACUUGCAACACGACAACAACAAGAAACAACUGGAUGGCGCGUUGUUGGCGACGGUAUGCCAGUCAUGCUGCAAAUUUAGGUGUGACAACGCGCCGUUGCUUAUGUGCACUCAGCAGCGACAAGCGUCGUUGUUGCUCGUGAUAAAUUACAACAAUAAACAACAAUCAUUGGCGGCAGCAUGUGGCAACUUAUGGCAUUUUAUGCGCGCAAAAUGUCACAGAAAAAAUUCUACAAAUAAUAGUGUGCCUGUGUGUGUGUGUGUCUGUAGACAUGAAAGCCUGCAUCGCAUUGUUUCUAAAUUCCAGAUUAAAAUCCUAAAAAUUAGUUAUGACUCCGCUAAGUGAAAGAACACAGAGUGCAGUGUGAAUUAUGUGCUGAGACUAAAUAGCGAACACCGAUGUCUACACAUACAUAUAUGUUUCCGCAAAUAAGGCAUUGCUUAAAGACCGCGAGUGUGUGCUUGAGCAAUAAAGCGACGCCUCUGCAUAACUGCAUUCCUGCUGACACUCACAAAGCAAAUAAAUAUAAAAAUCUACGUUGCUUGUGCUCGUUCAUGUCUUUAAGCUUCUGCGCUUACAAAGCAUCGAGCUGUCUUAAACGACUGCCACCGUCUACUUGGUCUGCUGCUGCGGAGAUCUCUGCAGUGGCACAUAAAUUGUCGGGCCACUCAUGGCACACCAGGGUAUACACAAAUAUAUGUAUGCUUAAAUCUUUUUAAAUAAAUGUAAAUGGAGAAUAAUACCAGCGAUUGCACGUAUGCAUCUGUCAUUUGUGGCCGCACACACAGCACUGCGCUUGACAUACAGGUGUCUACACACGUUGCUAUCCAAAUGGCCUCAACAGAGUUGGCUGCAUUUUUCGCUUCUGUUAGUUCGCUUCGUCUUAAUCAGCUCUCGUUUUGCGCUCAUCCGCCUUAACACUUUAAUGCAAAACUACCAUUUGCUCAUUUCAUAAGACGUUUGCCUAGACAGAUAAGAAAAUAUGCACGGUCGUCUAGCCGUUGAACAACAUGCCACAUAGGGACUGUGGAGGUUGUGAAAUACACAAUUUGUUGUUACCGUUGCACCUUGCCUUGUCUUAAUGGUUUUUAAAUAUUUGAGCUUUGGAGAGAAGCUACGUAUAUAUAUAUAUAUAGUAUAUAUAUAUAUAUAUAUAUAGAGAGAGAGAGAGAGAUAGGUUAGUUAGUUAGCAAAGAAGGCAAAAGCCAAAUGAAAAUAGAAUGGACCGAUUGUGUGUGAAUCUCCUUCUACCAUGCCAAUUUGCUUAUAUUAUGCAUAUUUCUGUUGGUAUUUGCUUUGUUUAAUCAAGCAUGGCAAUGCCCUUUGAAGAGGCUGCACUGAAGCUAAGGCGUUGACUUGAAAAAAUUCGAAAUUAAAGUGAGUAAAAUACUAGAAUAUUUAUUUGUUUCACUUGUAACCCAGUUUCUUCCGAGUUUAAGGAGUUGGAGCGCAUUAAAUAUUUAAGUCAAGGUAUUUAGUUCAGAGUAGUUUUAUAUUCGUAUUUAUUAUAUGAAAAUAGCUGCAUGAACUCCAUUACAGUUGUGUGUAAAGCAUAUUGUAGUGAAAAGUAAUGCUAAACAGGUAUCUUCUCGUUGUUAUGCUCACAAUCGCAUAAACUUUUCAAUUUUCAAUUUCAUAUCGCAUAACCCAAGCGAAAAAUUCACACUUCAGUAGCGGCAUUCAAUGCAAUAUUUUUCAAAUUUAACGCAUCAGCGCCAACAGCCAACAACAACAGCAACAAGAAUACGUAGCAACCUCAAGACAAUGAAUGACAACAAGUAAACACGGAACUAUGAGCACCCGGUAGCAAAUGCUUAAUCAAUAAGUUAUACAUUUUCGGACUGUUUAAUAUUAAAUUCAGAAACUUUGUGAUGGUCAUCUUUAAUCUCUUACUGUGGAUACCAAACUAAAUAAAAUGAAUAUUCGAAACAGAAUAGAAUAUUGUUUUAUAAUUAUUAGAGGUCCUACAGGGCAUACAUAAAUGCCAUGGGUGUAUAUAUAUAUUUAGUCUAUCAAACCUUUCGGUCGUGUGGCUUGAGCGUUUGCUAUUGGAAAGCGUUGAAAGGCUUUUGUCACACCUCGAUUAGCAGCAACUGAGUAGUGAGACCGUAGACUGUGUGUCUUAAAGUCCACCUUUGUAACAAACUAUUCUCCUCUUAUGUGCUCUACUGUAUUUAUAUGAAAUCGAUUCUGUUUGCUUGGAUAUCGAUAACUUGUAUCAUCCACACGUGAAAUUUCCUUUACUUUGCUCUUCAAUUUCCUGCAUUCUCAGCUCUGUUUUCUAACAUCCGUGGAAGGAAAAACUCAACUCACAGCUAUAAUUUAAAAGGCAUUGAGGAAUAUUGAGGCAAAAACAAAGCAAACUAGGUGACUACAGCAGAUUGGGUUGGUUUGCGCAGCAGCUGAGCUAAAAGCGUCUGAAUGAUAGAAAUAUUUUCACACUUCUGAUUUCUAAUUACAGUUCACUUGAGAUAAAGAAAAACUACUCAAAGCCAGAAAUAUGCAUGAAGAAGCUACAAAGCCCCCAACUAAGAGUUACGUUUGCACUGCAAAUGCCAGUGCAAUGUUUAUGGCAUUGUUGUUGGUGUUGUUUUUGCAACAUGUCAUUAUUGUGAAAUGCGGGUUGUGGUAACAUUGCCACAUUGCUUUAAUUUUCCGCUAAAUUUCGCUUUUAUUUUCACACAAGCAAUUUCUGUUUUGGAACAGCUGCAACAGCCUCGCUUUGCCACACCGUUUUCCUUGGGCUGCCUGCUUUUUCAUUUCAUUUGUUGUUGCUGCAUUGCUCAGCUUAUUUUGCAUAACAAUUUUGCGGUUUGGCCAAUAAAUAAAAUCAGCGAAACACAUUAAGAAACAACGAAAGAAAGCGAAGCAGACAGCACAGAGAAGCACAAAAGCACUGCGCAGCGGCAGCGAAAGCAAAUAGGAGCAUGUUGCAAAGUACGCGGAAAUUGAUUUUGUUUCACGCCAACUUGUGCAACAACGCCGCUGCCGCGCCACCAACGGGCUCUAUACGGAAAAGCCAGCGAAAAGUGUAUGCAGCUCGCAACCAAUACACUUGUUGUUGUUGCUCCCGCCGUUAUUAACACUGUGGAGCGCGCGCGUCGAUCCACGAAUGUCUCGGCUCAAUACCCUCGAUGCAUAAUAGAUAUCGGGGCGCAAUGCAGUGAUGCAUGCAACUGUAGACUUGCUGGCAUUGAGAAAUGCCAAUAUGCGAUACAAACACACUCACGAACACCCAGGCAGACAGACGAUUGGCAGUGUGGCGGUGUGCAAUUACACGAGCAGACAGCAGACGGAAGUGAAUAUUGCCGUCAAUUUAAGGUACUCGAAUUGCAGCUGGAGACGAGCAGCGGCACGUCAAGUCAUAAAGUAGCGCCACACCGAACAGUGGGCGGCACCAACGUGCAUGUUGCGGCUUCACACGUAACGGUGCAUAUGCAAUUUGGCCAAGUGUCCGCCCACUCAGCCAGCCGGUAGUCGGCGUAAAAUGUGCAUUAGUUCAAAUUACUUAAUUAGCCUAGGAAGCAUCUGAAGACAAGGCAAUGGCUAAGGGAGAUUGAAAGACUUGCGAUUUAUUUUCAUAUUCAUAUUUGAACUGACCUGCCACAAAGUGCACCGUUAUGAUAUUCAGUCAAAAAAUUUUCACGACGAACCGAAAAAUGAUUUAGAAAUACUCAAGUAACGGUUUGCAAUUGCUUUGCAGUGGUAAUCUCACAAAUCUAAAGAACUAUUCACAGUUGUAAUGAGCCAAUAAAUCGCAAGACAUUUUCCAAUUAUUUACGAGUUACUAUUCAACGGUGAACCAGUUACCUGCUUGAGUAAUCGUGCGAGUUAUAAGAUUCAGAAGCGCUCAAACUGGUUUCUUCACUACCACUUCAGUUAUUUCCACUUGUUCGCGAAUUAUUACAAAAGGCACCAAGAGAUCGCUGCUUAACCACACAGUCGAUUUGCUACAUUUAGCGGGCUUGAGAAUGUCGCCAAAGAACCGGAUAUGUGCUUGUGGUACAUAUCAUUUGUAAUUAAUGAGCUUGCAAGUCUUGUAUCGGUAUUUACGAGGCUACAUAUGUAAAUGAGCGAAGAAGCUUCGCAGAAAAAUACAAAACUAAUUCUUUGAAGCCAUUAAUUACUGUAUGGCUCGAAGCCGGUGGUUGAAUGCGUGCCAGUUUUAUGACUCAGUCGAACCUGAUUUGGGUCUACAGGUCAGCAAGUCAGCUUUGCGGCCGACAAGAUGCCUUUCGAUUUCUGGAAGAAUCGCAAAGAACCGGUCUCAGCUAGAGCAAAUCAAUGCUGACGUUCUCGAGUUUAAUUAUGCUGUGAUCGCAUAACCGUAGCACGUGGUGACGUUUGUACCUGUACUACUAGCACUGAAAAAGAACAAGCUGACACUCAAGCGAAUAUGCAAAAUAAUUCUGCAUUCGUGCUCGUGUUCGUGCGUGAGAAAUAAUCAAAAAAUCUGCAUGCCAAAUAAGUGCUCUUGUUUCAGACAGUUUGCUAUGGUCUUCAGCAUUCAGAAGAAUAUACAUUAUUGAAUCAGUUAAUUUCCACUGAAAGGCCGCUUCAGAAUCGCAAAAAUUCCAUCCACCGCAUUUUUCGAUUAAAAACCUCACACCAAUUAAGCGCUUUUGUUCCAAGAGAUCUUCGCAGCAACAUUCUUGCGCAGUCUAUUAAACACUUGGCGUUGUUGUUGUUGCUAUGGCUCACAGUUACCAGUCACCGUUAGCCGUUAGCUGUCAAUCGGUUGCAGUCCAACAAGCUUUGCCUCAAUGCCAACUGGUUUUGUUGCAGUUGUUGUUGUUGUUGAUCGAAUGUGCAUUAGCAAGUACUUACUCACUCGCUUAAGUGCUUACAGACACUCUAGCCUCUAGCCUCCACAAGUGGGAAAUUAUAAGUGUAAACCAAACUUCUCGCAUACCGAUAUUAGUCGGUUGUUAUUGUUGUUGUGACUGACAUUACAUUUACUGUUGUUCUGAGUACUUUAGAGUCAGCUUUGACCACUUCGCUUUAAUGGCGUCUUUUGUCGCUUAAGCGAGUAAUUAAAAAACACGCCAGCAAUUCCUCAGCAAACGAAAAUAGAAACAAUACAAGAUUAUAUGCAUGACAAAGGCGAUUUUGCAAAGACCUGUUCCCCCUAACUCGUUAAGCCCCUUGCUAUCGCUUCAAGUAAAAAAAAAAAACAUAUUUUUGUUGAAAAUGAAUUUUUGUACCGUUAAAUACUAUUUGUCACAACAUUUCUUGGUUGGCAAAAGUGUUUCGGGGCUCACACGAAAAUUAUCCCGUACCUAAUCCAACGAAUGUGAAAGUGAAAGUCAAAUGCGGUCAAAACAAAGUAAUUAACAAAUGUUGUUGUAUAACAUUUCGCGGCGGCUAAUUACCAAAGGAAGCUCAAGCGAUUUUUACACGGCCAAUUUCAUAUGCCAAAUCAUUGUACACACAUAUGUACGAGUAUAUACUCGAGAGUUACAUAUUUUCGAUUUUCGUUACAAAUAUUGGGUCAGCUUUUGUUCAUUGUGGCAUAAAUGCCAGUCACUCGGCCUGUACUUGCCACACUUUUCCUUUCACCAGUCGCGCUUUGAUUAUCUGUCAGCCUUUUCUUCACCCUUUUUGCGCAUGGCAUUCGCCUGCGCCAGCGGCGACGCACACUUGACCUUUGUUUUCGCACCCAUCGGCCAGCUGCGGGCGCGGUGAGCGGCGAGCGGCGCCGGCGGCACUUAUUGAGUAAUCGCGGCGCAUUGUGUCGGCCCGCGGCUUGAUCUGCUUCGAUUCACAAGUGCGCUUGUGCGCUAAUCAAAUGUCAAAAUGCUGAGCAAUUAUAAUCGAAGUGCUCACAUUUCAUUUCAUGACGUUGACGAUUACCCAAUCGCGCCGGAGCUAUUGAAAGGCCACGUUGGACACCUGCAUUGCUGGCGGCAUUCAAGUGAUCAAGUGAUCGGCGGGCAGUGCGUCACAACAGGGCCGCCUGCUGAACCAGUUCAAGCUGUGCUUAUAGUCACAGCUUUAGCUGUCACAUUUUGGCGGCAAAGGUUCAACGCCUCAAAAGCUGAUUAACUAUGGUUACGCUUCUCCUGAUAUUUCACGCAGAGUUUUGGAAAAAAUGCCACUCUCGGAGUCUGCGACGCCCAUUCGCGCCAAGCCGGAUGAAGUCUAGGCGUGGCAACCAGCACUAGUUGUACUAGCAACAACAACUCAAGUUUGCUAUAAAUUGUAUAAUAUUUAUAAUAAAUAAACAGGUUGGGCCGCGUUUAACGGAUUUACAUGCGCAGAGGCGUGCAGCGAAAGAUUUGAAUUUAAUUUAAUUGCAUUGCUGUGUCAAGAUAUCGUAAAGUUAAAAGCGAGGCGAAUGGUGACUGUUUCUAGCAAUUGCAUUAAUUUACUUUUGUUUUCUUUAGUCUACAGUAGCUUACUUGUGAGCUGAGUUAUGUUGUGUUAUAUGUAUGUAUGUCUCAUGUCUUAUUGCUACAUAUUUGUAUUUCUUCUUUUUACUUUUUCGUAAACUGAAUUGCAGUAAACCUGCUUGCUCUCCACUUCGCCACUUCGACUUCGAGCAUAACUCUUUCGCUUUAUUCCAUUUUGCAAAUGCAAGCGAUUUACACAAUUAUGUAAAAUUGAAUUGCGAUAAACAGCUUUGAGCGAAAUUGCUAGAAAAGUGCACAGGAAAAAGCGCAUGCGCACUGCAGCACUCACAUGCAUAAUCAAACAUUUAAAUUCAAUAUUUGCAUAUUAUAAACGCAUUAUGCAAAUGGCGAAAGGCUACGAGAAAUGGAAAAUCGCUGAAAAGUUGUGAAAAUUGAGUUUUGCACUUUAAAUGCGAACGUAACCAAAGAAACUUGAUUCCUACUACUUCAUAUGUGUGAGUGUAUUCCUUGCAAGAUUAGGGUUGGGUUCAAGAUUGAAGUUUCAAAGAUUUAAUUUUUAAUCUACGAUAAUCUCAAGCUCUAUUACUUAGUCACCGAAAUGAUUUCGAUAAAAUUAUGAGAAGAUAAUCAUUUUAAUACAGGCCUUUCAGACAAUUAGGAUUUUUUUAUUUAGUUAAGGGCUGAUAUUAUGUAAUUUUUCUUUUUGUAAGCACGUUCACAAAAUUAAUGGAUCCUAAAUGGACAUAAGUCGAACACGGCAAACAAAUUUAAACAAAAAUUUAACUUCUUAAGUUGUUGUUAUUAAUUUUAAAAAUUUUACGCUUAAGGCCUUUUAAAUAAGUAUCCUAGUCUAAUACGAAAUGUUAUGCAAAAAUUAACACAAAAUAAAUACAAGGCUUUCAUGCAAUGCAAAUAUGAUGUUAAAUAGAAAUUCGAAAAUUUUCGAAAUCACUUAUUCGAAUAAAAAUUGUUUUUCGAAAACCGAGAUCUUCAAUAUUUUCCUGAAAACACAUUUCAAAUUGAUUCAAAACUUUCACAAAACAAAACUCAAAGUUCACAGCUCUUGCGCCGUUUAUCACAAUCGCCAUUAUCCUUGCGUGGCAAUAAAUACACUAACACGAGCAAAUACGAACAUUCUAUAUUUGUAUCUCAGCAAAUGUUCCGCUUUUCCUUCAAGCUUUUUACUAAUUUGAAUAUUUUGAAACUUUUUUUUAUAAUUUUUUCAUUUCACUUUAUGCUAUAAAAAAAGAUGUAGUUGUUUUUGUACAUACCGGCUCCAAAAAGUGCAACGAAUACGAACAAAAACUUAUUCAUUUUUGUAGUUUUGAUUUUUCAACAAAUUUCACGCGCUAAAAGUGACUGCGUAGGCGUUUAUGUGCGCUUAAAUUGUCGUAGGUAUAUUCCGUUGGGUUAGAAAAUUGAAUUUCCUUUUCGCUUUUUCUCAAAUUGCUGCGUUUGCUUUUCCGUUGAUAUGCACAACGUCUGACAGGGAACCACUG